CACGAGCGCGAAAUGAAAAGUGGGGCAUUAUUUAAGCUAAAAUCUUACAUCAUUUUGCAUAGUUAACUUUCAGUUGCAUGUUAAAUGCAUUAUUAUAGUUAAACUGUAACCAUAAUUACGAAUAUAUUAAAGACCAAUUCUCCAGCCAAAUAAUAUAAUGCUAUUUUGAAAAUAAUAACAGUUUUUUGAUGGCAUUACUUGAAGAUACUGAAAUUCAAGCACUCCGCAACUGGUGUUAAACUGAACAGCCUUUAGAAUUCGGAACUUCGGAGUUUCUGCAUUGUGGCAUAGUCGUAAGAAGCCGUCUGCCAAAACUCGAAUCGUGAAGAAGUCACGCAUGAUUGUAUUGUCCCACCCACAGUUACUGUACGUGUUGCGUUGGUGUAUCCUUUGCAGUGCACCCUGGGCUACGCUUUCUAUGAUGGGACGGCUAAAUGACCGAUGGGUUCGACCCUUCCCGACCAGUGUAUGAAAAGCAAUGUCCGACUUUUCUGGAAAACAAAACGUCAGAAUUAUUACCCUACGAAGAGACAGUGAGCUGAUUGCAAUCGCAGUGAAAGAAUGGGCAAUACACUUCAUCAAGGUCAGUCACUGAAGGCAUUGACAUCGCAAAACCUUGCUUUCGUCAAGGGACAAACACUGAGAGACAGCAGAAGAUUAAAAAGUCAAGGACAUAGUAUGAUCGGAUCUCUCGAAAACAACUAUUUUGUGCGUUCUAAAUGAGCACCUUCCCUUGAACAAAUUAUCCUCAAAAUGGAUUCUCCGCCUUCUCAUCCAGAUUCAGAAAUAGGGACACACAGCGAUUCAGAAAUUACAGCAUGUGUAGCAACUUUACAACAGAAAUCAAAACAAUUUGUAUGGUCAAUGUAACUGUGGUUCUGUAUUUUAAUCCCUUAUCAUACAGGAAAACCAUAGAGUGCAGAAAACUGCUGUGGAGUGCAAUCAAGAAAUGAAAAAGCUUAUAGCUAUAGUUUUUUGAGACUGUAAAGAAAUACUAGCGAAAGAUUUUAUAGAGAAGUAUUGAAUUAUGCAAUGAAAUUAAAGAAAAAAAAAAAAAAAUAAGUAGAAUGUUGAGCUUAGGGUUUCACCUCUUCCAUAAUAAUGCUCAGUUGCUCGUUGCCAAAGACAGCUCGUUGCUCGUUCCAUAUAGCUCUCUAAAUUUGAAUCUGUGCUUUUUGGAAGAAGAUGUAAUGAUGAUGAAAACGGGAAGGUAGCAGUUAUGGAUUAUUUUGUUAACAAUACAUUUCAAAGCCUUAGAACUACUACUUAGCAGGUCUAAAAAAUAUUCUGAAAAACAAGGGGGUUAUACUGAAAGACAGACAGUCACAUUUUUAUCUAUGUCUUUUAGAAUUUUAAUAGAUUGUAAAAUUUUUUUUAUCUUACCUCGUGUAUGAAAUGUUAUUUAAAAUUACCAACGUGCUACUAAGUAGGUUCUUCGACUGAGUGUUAUGAGGCUGAGUGUUAUGAGGAAGAAUUCAAAAACAAAGAUGAUUUAAAUCUGGGGAAAUGAAAAUUUAUAGUUACACUUUAAAUCCUUUUUUUUAAAUAUGAAUGCUCUCAAAUCAUUUUUUCACAACAGAACAAUAACCAGGCAAAUUUAAUCAUUUCUAAGAAUCUUACAGUUAAAUUCAUUUGGAAGAGUUUCUGAUAGCGAAAGCUUCUUUCAUAAAAAUCAUAUUUUAAAGAUUUAUUCCCUCAUUGCAAUAAGCUUUGGAUAUUUUCAAGUUGAUGAGGAGGAGAUUUUAGAUAAUCCAGUUCAAUGUCCAAGUUUCAAGCAUUCCUUGAAUGGAAAAAACGAGGAAGGGAAGAAAUGCAUACUCUUAAGCCAGCUUUUUUCCUUUAACAAACCUACUCCCAUAAAAGCCCUUCAUCAUGUACCUCACGCGUGAUUUUUUAUUGAAUAUUCUAUCUUUUUGUUUUGUCUCGAUUGAAACAUGUAAGAAAGAAUGAAAAAUAAAUUCUCUAUUAUUCUUUA